CAGCACCUCAAGUGGUCAGGAUGAUUAUUGGGCCUAAAGCAUCCGUAGCCGGCGCUGUAAGUUUUCGGUUAAAUCUGUACGCUCAACGUACAGGCUGCCGGGAAUACUGCAGCGCUAGGGAGUGGGAGAGGUAGACGGUACUCGGUAGGAAGGGGUAAAAUCCUUUGAUCUACUGAUGAUCACCUGUGGCGAAGGCGGUCUACCAGAACACGUCCGACGGUGAGGGAUGAAAGCUGGGGGAGCAAACCGGAUUAGAUACCCGAGUAGUCC
rnacentral:rRNA from 1 species